GACGAGCCACCCGAACGUUAUUCGGAAUUACUGGGCUUAAAGGGUGCGUAGGCGGUGUAGCAAGUCGGGAGUGAAAUACCCCAGCUUAACUGAGGAAUUGCUUUCGAUACUGCUGCGCUUGAGUGAGACAGAGGUAAGCGGAACUUAGGGUGGAGCGGUGAAAUGCGUUGGAUAUCCUAAGGAACACCGGUGGCGAAGGCGGCUUACUGGGUCUCAACUGACGCUGAGGCACGAAAGCUAGGGUAGCAAACGGG
rnacentral:rRNA from 1 species